GUUUAUCAAAAACAUGGCCUUCCGCAUGUACUUGUAUGUAUAGUAUUCACGGGAGGUCACACUUGCACAAUGGCCUACGGGUUCAAUUGCCGCGGUAACCUGACCGUGCAAAGGUAGCGUAAUCAAUAGCCUAUUAAUUGUUGGCCUGUAUGAAUGGUACGACGCUGGUGGCGCUGUCUCAGUUGCAUUAAUUUGAACUUAACUUCUGGGUGAAAAGGCCCAGAUAAAUCUGAAAGACGAUUAGACCCUAUCGAACUUUAGGUAGAACAGCCGUCAGGUCGCCCAGCAGUGGUAGUGUCUGUCUGUUGCUAAAACCUUUGGUUGGGGUAACCGGGACCAAGAAAAACGCCCCCCCUCCUUUGAAAGUAGACACCCGUAUGAUAAAGGUAAUAGAGACUUUACCUUUAGGGCAAUUGGCCUUCAGGAAAGUAAUUUUCUUAUAGUUAAAAAAGAGUCUGACAAGACAUAGCUUACUUAUAGAAUGAACCUAAAGAACUGAUUUCUAUCGGUUAGCUGUUAAUAGGGAAGAGUUACCGUAGGGAUAACAGCGUAAUCCUCCCGGCGAGACCACAUUAAGGGGAGGUUUGCGACCUCGAUGUUGGCUUAGGCUUCCUAGAAGUGCAGGGCUUCUAAGGUUGGUCUGUUCGACCAUUAAAGCCUUACGUGAUCUGAGUUCAG
rnacentral:rRNA from 1 species